UACGUAGGGUGCAAGCGUUGUCCGGAAUUAUUGGGCGUAAAGAGCUUGUAGGCGGUUUGUCGCGUCUGCUGUGAAAUUUCGGGGCUCAACCCCGAACUUGCAGUGGGUACGGGCAGACUAGAGUGUGGUAGGGGAGACUGGAAUUCCUGGUGUAGCGGUGAAAUGCGCAGAUAUCAGGAGGAACACCGGUGGCGAAGGCGCCACUCUGGGCCGGAACUGACGCUGAGGAGCGAAAGCGUGGGUAGCAAACAGG
rnacentral:rRNA from 1 species